UUCACCUUGGUCUAUAAUAAGGUGGGUUAAAAUAAACACUACAUGUAAUAUGUAAAUAUGUACAGAAUCUUAAUUUAAGAUACAAUAUACGACGUAAGUACUUACAGUGGUGACGCUUUCAAGGAUUAGUGUAUAAGACAUGGAAUUGUGGAGGUCAUUUAUUAAGAAAAUGUGUAUCAAAGAUUUAGCUGCUUCGUCCGUAUUUUGUUAAAUUAUUGGGAUAUUCUUUAGCUAUCAACACGGAUUUAAAGGAGAAACAUUGAACACGAACACAUAAAAGGAUGGACUACAAAUAACUAAGGCCAGAAACAUUGAACACGAACACAUAAAAGGAUGGUACUACAAAUAACUAAGACAGAAAAAAACACCAUUAAAUUCUUUAAUAUUACAUAUUUUAUAUCGUUGGUGAGGUAGAUUCGAAUUUACCAUGGAAGUAGCUUUAACAUUAUUUGGAUUACUGCUAAUGGUUUUAACUGCUCAAGCCGCCACACAAGAUAGAUUCAUGUGCAUAACGUGUCAAUAUCAGAGUAACAUGAUAGACACAGAAUGUGUUGAUGCACCUGAAAACAUGACAGAACCACAGAACAGAAUUAGAUGUCCCUCUAAAUGUAUGACGCAGGGUAGAUUUAGCAAAGAUACGCAUAAACCAUCUUAUAUGCUCCGAGGUUGUAUGACUCUAGGUGAUACAAGAGAAGAUGACUGUGAGGAAUCGGAGUUGGAAUACCAUUGUUAUACUUUUUGUUCAGGUCAUUUCUGUAAUUUUGAUUCUGGAUUUGCUUUAGACACGGCCACCAAUAGUCAGCCAUUUUUCGUGCUAGUUUAUAUGUCUUCUGUGCUAGCCUUAUUUAUGAAAUAAAUCUGCCUGUAUUGUGUGUCGUUCUUGGGCCUGGAAUGUUAUCUACAAUAUUAAUUAGGCAUUAAUUAACUUAUCCAAACCAUAAUCAACCCUCGAUACCAUCGUUAGCCUGCGAUAUUUAGUGGAUUUAAAUAUAUUUUGUGAUUGAUAAUAUAAUGUAAACAUAGAUAAUUGAAACUUGGUUUAUUAUCGAACCGAAGUUAGUAAUGACGUUCGAGGCUAGCUUAAAAUUGAAUCGCUAAUAUCUCGUUGAAGCAAUCUGACUGAAAAUUUCAGCAUAUUCUGUUUUCACUAUCUAUAUUUUAACUAUUUUAGCGAGAUUUAUCAGCUCUUUAUCUAAUCGUACCUAAUGCCUCUUUAAAGAAGGCAGCAUAUCCACUAAUUUUUAGUAAGGAGUUAUAUCGUCAUAAUAAAAUCACAUAAUCACAUAUAUCUUCAUAAUA